CAGCAGCCGCCGCGGGAAUACGAAGGGGGCUAGCGUUGUUCGGAUUUACUGGGCGUAAAGGGCGCGUAGGCGGACUGAUAAGUCAGGGGUGAAAUCCCAAGGCUCAGCCUUGGAACUGCCUUUGAUACUGUUUGUCUUGAGUUCGAGAGAGGUAAGUGGAAUUCCCGGUGUAGCGGUGAAAUGCGUAGAGAUCGGGAGGAACAUCAGUGGCGAAGGCGGCCAUCUGGGACAACACUGACGCUGAGGCACGAAAGCGCGGGGAGCAAACAGGAUUAGAUACCCGCGUAGUCCCUGUCUCUUAUAA
rnacentral:rRNA from 1 species